AAAUUUAGUCAGAACAGUGACUUAGUGCAGCACAUGAGAACUCAUACGGGGGGGAAACCCUUUGUUUGUAAGCUAUGUCAUUAUAAAUGUGCGCGGAAUGGUGAUUUAGUGCGGCACAUGAGAACUCACACUGGUGAAAAACCGUUUGCUUGUAAACUAUGUAUGCCAUUAUAAAUGUGCGCGGAGUAGUGAUUUAGUGCGGCACAUGAGAACUCAUACGGGUGAAAAACCCUUUGUUUGUAAGGUAUGCCAUUAUAAAUGUGCGCAGAAUAGUCAGUUAGUGCGGCACAUGAGAACUCAUACGGGUGAAAAACCCUUUGUUUGUAAGGUAUGCCAUUAUAAAUGUGCACAGAAUAGUAAUUUAGUGCGGCACAUGAGAAAUCA